UUAACUUUAAAUAUUUUUAUCAAAACGUUUAUCAAACAAAAAGUAACGAUUGGGUAGUUAUUGACACAUGGUCUGAAAGUCUGAAGAGUGACUCAUUUGUUUUUACUGAAAAAUUAGUUUCUGGUAAGUAUACUGCUAUGGCAAGAGGGAUCUAUUAUUUGUCUGCUAAUGUUAUUUUUAAAGACAGCAAUUGACCAAUUUAUAUUAUGAUAGCUGUCAAUAAUCAGUUAUCAAAACGAACUGCUUUAUAUGCAACAAAAGGAAAACCAUCAGUAGUUCAAGACAGUCUUAGUGUGUCUGGAGCCUUAUUUAUUAAAAAAGUGUUUUUUACUCAUUGGUUGUGUCUGGUUUGGUAUUAGUUAAUGCAGGUGACAGCAUUGCACUUUAUACUCAGUCUGUUGCUGAUCCAACUUAUACAAUAAGUCAAGACAGCUUUAUGUCAAUCGUUUUCAUUAGCUCUACCAAUGAUUUAUAUUCAUCUGGAAUGCAGUUAAUGCUAAAUACAACACUUGAUCAACAGCAGAGCGCUUCUGAUUAGACUUAAGUUAAAUAUUGGCAGAACAACCGGGUAAGGACUGCAACUGGUGUUUUCAGCAGUGGAAAUCUUCUAAAACUAGAUUCAGUCAUGGGUACAGUAACAGUUCAAGAGACAGGAGUUUAUUAUAUUUUUGUAAAUCUUGCUAUUGCUCCUGAUUUGAAUAAUUAUCAAAUAGCUGUUUUUACAACAUUAACAUCUGUCACAUCACUAAUAAGAAGAUUUAGUGAUAAAGAUCAUCCUCAAUACACAAUGAAGAUUUACGGUGCUUUAUACCUGUAUAAAGGUCAGUGAAUGAAGUUGAAGAAGGCUUCACUAGCUUGACAUUAAAUAGUUCUAUUAAAUUGAGUCAAAAGGAUACAGGCUUUUUGUAUUAGUUAUUUUAAUGUAAUACAUGUUUUAUGAUGUUAA